CAUGCCAUGAUUUUAAAACGAGACACUGAAACAAGGGGAACAGCAUUCCUUGUAGUGCCUGAGUGCACAUAUCUUCCUCUCCAGACGCCCCAAGAUGGACGCCGUGUCGCCGGUCAGCCAGCGAGAGGUCAUUGUUGAAGAUUUACAGGAACACAGAACGCCUCCUUCUUCAGCUCGGUGACCCGACAAGUGCCGAUCACUGCUGCAGCGCCGAUGAUGAGCAGGAGCAAGACCCUGAGGAGCAGAGAGAAGAGCCGAGAGCACCAAGAGCGUCUGGUCUGAGGCACACCACCGGAGACACUGACCUUCUUUUUAUCUGCAGGAAGGAGAAGUACAGGAUUAUUUUACUGGUAUGGCAUCACGCUACGUGUCCACUUAGUUAUAUAAUUUAAAUUAAGGUGAAAAACUCGAUUUCCCAUUCGACUGGAGAAACAUGGCUGCCACACUCUGAGGUAUAGAGAUUUACUCUAUACUGACACAAUGCUACUUCAUUUAUAUGUCAAGGAACGCGUGACUAUUAUAAGAGGGGUGAAACUUUAAUCUAACUGGUGUAUAUCAUAGUAUAUACACUCAAUCGAAUACGAUUUACGGAGUGAUUUAAAGUGCUCGAGGGGCGCUUUAAAGGAGCCGAGGCCACGCCUCCUUCGCCGUGACCGACAGGCACAAAGGAAGACGCCUGCUUCAUCUCCUACCCUCUUAUUCAUCACGGGCUCUACCUUCUCACACAGAUGAUGCGAAACCCACCUUGAUUUUGGCUGGCUCUCUUCUUCUUAUCCUCUUUCUUCUUCUUCUGUUGUUCCUGCACAGCCUGAGCUGCCAUCUGUGCUUCAUAUUCCCUCCUUUUCCUCUCCUUCUCCUCUGCCUUUUUCCUUUUUUGUGCUUCUCUUUCCCUGGCCUCUCUCUCCCUCUGUUUCGCUUCUCUCUUCUUUUCCUGUUCUAUAAGUCAGAGGAAACCAUAAACGAUCAUGCGUAUUCGUCUUCUGUAUUGGUGAAGAAGAAGAAGAAGUGCACCCGGGGAGUGCUUCUCUACCUUUCUCCUUCAGCAGCUUGCGUUCCCGCUCUUUAUCUGCUUCUUCCUGGAGAAACCUCAUGUGUUGGAGAACCUGGAGCGGAACGAUACGGAGGACACCGGUUAAUGGGAAAUUUAAGCUCAACGUUGAGUAAAAAGUGCUAGACGAUUAAACAUACAUAAUUUGUGGACUGUUACAGGGUCAUAAAUGAAAACAUCAUGUACAUGCUCCCUCACCCUUCCUGAGCACUGCCUGCACUGCUUCUCAUUCAGACAGUCUCCUGCAGCUUUGGCCAGUGUCGGCUCCAGAGGGUUAUCUUUAAGAUCCAGCCAUUUCAGACUCUACAAACACAGACGGUCACAAAAAACAACAACACUGAAACGAAUUAUCUGUUACAUUACAUACUUCAAUGGG